rnacentral:rRNA from 1 species
GAUGAACGCUGGCGGCGUGCCUAAUACAUGCAAGUCGAGCGAACGGACGAGAAGCUUGCUUCUCUGAUGUUAGCGGCGGACGGGUGAGUAACACGUGGAUAACCUACCUAUAAGACUGGGAUAACUUCGGGAAACCGGAGCUAAUACCGGAUAAUAUUUUGAACCGCAUGGUUCAAAAGUGAAAGACGGCCUUGCUGUCACUUAUAGAUGGAUCCGCGCUGCAUUAGCUAGUUGGUAAGGUAACGGCUUACCAAGGCAACGAUGCAUAGCCGACCUGAGAGGGUGAUCGGCCACACUGGAACUGAGACACGGUCCAGACUCCUACGGGAGGCAGCAGUAGGGAAUCUUCCGCAAUGGGCGAAAGCCUGACGGAGCAACGCCGCGUGAGUGAUGAAGGUCUUCGGAUCGUAAAACUCUGUUAUUAGGGAAGAACAUAUGUGUAAGUAACUGUGCACAUCUUGACGGUACCUAAUCAGAAAGCCACGGCUAACUACGUGC